UACGGAGGGUGCGAGCGUUAUCCGGAAUUACUGGGUUUAAAGGGUGCGUAGGCGGCCAGGUAAGUCAGGAGUGAAAGUUUGCGGCUCAACCGUAAAAUUGCUUUUGAUACUGCCAGGCUAGAAUUAGGAUGAGGUUAGCGGAAUGUGGCAUGUAGCGGUGAAAUGCAUAGAUAUGCCAUAGAACACCAAUUGCGAAGGCAGCUGGCUAGACCUUGAUUGACGCUGAGGCACGAAAGCGUGGGGAGCGAACAGG
rnacentral:rRNA from 1 species